UACGUAGGUGGCAAGCGUUGUCCGGAUUUACUGGGCGUAAAGGGCGUGCAGGCGGUUUGUUAAGUUCAGGGUGAAAGCUCCCGGCUCAACUGGGAGAGGUCCUUGGAUACUGGCAGACUUGAGGAGGGUAGAGGAGAGUGGAAUUCCCGGUGUAGUGGUGAUAUGCGUAGAUAUCGGGAGGAACACCAGAGGCGCAGGCGGCUUGCUGGGUCUGUAUUGACGCUCAGACACGAAAGCAUGGGGAGCGAACGGG
rnacentral:rRNA from 1 species